rnacentral:tRNA from 1 species
GCCCGGGUGGCGGAACUGGCAGACGCAGAGGACUUAAGAUCCUCCGCUCGCAAGAGCUUGUGGGUUCGACCCCCACCCCGGGCACCA